GGGGGCGACCUGGUUUCGACAGGGAUAUGAUGUUCAGCGCAGCAUGUCGAGGUCUCGGACCUCGUAAAAAAUCCGGGAACUUUAAAUCUGCCAACUCGGAGAUGCAAUUAGCGGCAUAAGUCCGCUCGUUCACCCAACCUUUUCCUGCGGGGUUGGUGUGGGCGCAAAACAGCAGGAUAGCCUUGUAGGCGACCACCUGAAUGCCUACUCGAAGCGAAUCCAAUCAGGGAUCCUCCCUUAAAAGCCCGUCCGUGGGCGUUUGAGGGUGAGUCAUACGCGGACUAAGCAUGUAGUGGUGCUGUUCGGACCAUUUCUGGACGCGGGUUCGAUUCCCGCCGCCUCCAUCC
rnacentral:tmRNA from 1 species